GACGAACGCUGGCGGCGUGCUUAACACAUGCAAGUCGAACGGAAAGGCCCUGCUUUUGUGGGGUGCUCGAGUGGCGAACGGGUGAGUAACACGUGAGUAACCUGCCUUUGACUUUGGGAUAACUUCAGGAAACUGGGGCUAAUACCGCAUAGGAGUUCCUGCUGCAUGGUGGGGGCUGGAAAGUUGCGACGGCUGGGGUUGGACGCGCGGCUUCUCAGUUUGUUGGUGGGGUAGUGGCUUCCCAAGGCUUUGACGGGUAGCCGGCCUGGGAGGGUGACAGGGCACAGACGGACUGGGGAGGCACCCGGAGGGCUACGGGGGGAAGGGGUGGAGGACAGAGCGAGAUGGGCGGAGGCAGGGUGGAAGGACGCCGGGUCGUGGAGGACGGUUGUCGGGGAGGAAAGCGCUUGAGCCUGGGACGAAGCGUGAGUGACGGUAACUGGUAAAGAAGCAACGGCUAACUACGUG
rnacentral:rRNA from 1 species